ACAGACAGGUCCUGUCUUCGUUCAAAAAGAAGCUGCUGCAUGAAAAUCUUGAUCAGCAUUUGCCCCAUCCAUUUUCACACAUGGACGGGGGCGCCCUUUUGGCAAUCCAGUCCGGAGUAGCCAAACUAGGAAAGUUGACCGGUGAAUAUUUUCUCCUUUUUAAGCUUUGGAAAAUCAAAACUUAUUCCGGAUGAACAUCCUUUUUUUUUUUUGGGUACGAAAGAUAAAAAUGCAUUGUUAAUAGUUAAAUAGUCAAGCAGCGUUUACAAAACGAGGCAAACAAAAACUCCUGCAGUCAUCUUCUAACAAUCUAAACAUAGCAGUGGGUGGAUUUACAAGACAGGUAAGAGAACUCUUGGUCGGUUGUUGUUCCCACUUUUGCUUAAAAAAAAAAAAAAUUUCGCGCACCUGAUAGCAGCUUCUCUGUAGAUGUGCCAAAUAUGCGCUUCCUGCAAUCAAAGAUAACAGGUAGCUAGGGGAAAAUUCAGGAGCGUCAGAUUUAUGAGUAUUUAGGAUAUCCGCCACAACUUUGGCAUCCAGCUUUAUGAUCAAAAUGCGAUGUGUUGAGCGAUUUGGCUAAGGAAGAGCUCACCCCUUAGUGCCCAUAAGAAAAUCAGCAGUUACAUCAAUAGCAGUUUCCAAAUUCCUGUAAAAACCCUCUAUCCAUUCUACUAUGAUUCCUCCACUUGCUCCCGCCUUACCUAAGGAGGAUUCAUCAGCAUCGAGUUCUAGUUCUACAAGUAGGACCGACGUGUCGGAGAUUCAUUCCAGACGUAUAUGCUAGUGCUGACAAAAAAUCUUGCGCAGUUUUGGAUUCCAAAGCAAGGAAUCAGGAAUCAGUGGGAACUUCUCUACCUCUCAUCAACGUAGCCUUUUGGGUAAAGGGAUACUCCCAGCAAAAGUAGAAAAACUUUCACGACGACGGCCCUAAUAAUUUGCUGCAAGCAAGCUUCACUA
rnacentral:lncRNA from 1 species